GAUGAACGCUAGCUACAGGCUUAACACAUGCAAGUCGAGGGGAAACGACAUCGAAAGCUUGCUUUUGAUGGGCGUCGACCGGCGCACGGGUGAGUAACGCGUAUCCAAUCUGCCCACCACUUGGGGAUAACUUUGCGAAAGUAAGACUAAUACCCAAUGACGUCUCUAGAAGACAUCUGAAAGAGAUUAAAGAUUUAUCGGUGAUGGAUGGGGAUGCGUCUGAUUAGCUUGUUGGCGGGGUAACGGCCCACCAAGGCGACGAUCAGUAGGGGUUCUGAGAGGAAGGUCCCCCACAUUGGAACUGAGACACGGUCCAAACUCCUACGGGAGGCAGCAGUGAGGAAUAUUGGUCAAUGGACGAGAGUCUGAACCAGCCAAGUAGCGUGCAGGAUGACGGCCCUAUGGGUUGUAAACUGCUUUUAUAAGGGAAUAAAGUGAGAGUCGUGACUCUUUUUGCAUGUACCUUAUGAAUAAGGACCGGCUAAUUCCGUGCCAGCAGCAGCCGCAG
rnacentral:rRNA from 1 species